rnacentral:rRNA from 1 species
AUACGUCAGCGGCAGACGGGUGAGUAACGCGUGGGAACAUACCUUUUGGUUCGGAACAACACAGGGAAACUUGUGCUAAUACCGGAUAAGCCCUUACGGGGAAAGAUUUAUCGCCGAAAGAUUGGCCCGCGUCUGAUUAGCUAGUUGGUGAGGUAACGGCUCACCAAGGCCAAGAUGCCUAGCAGGUGUGAGAGCACGACCUGCGUCACUGGCACUGGGACACUGGCCAGACUCCUACGGGAGGCUGCAGUCGAGGAUCUUCGGCAAUGGGCGAAAGCCUGACCGAGCGACGCCGCGUGUGCGAUGAAGGCCUUCGGGUUGUAAAGCACUGUCGUGGGGGAGAAAGCCCGCAAGGGUUGAUCGACCCCAGGAGGAAGCACGGGCUAAGUUCGUGCCAGCAGCCGCGGUAAGACGAACCGUGCGAACGUUAUUCGGAAUCACUGGGCUUAAAGGGUGCGUAGGCGGGCUCGUGAGUCAGGGGUGAAAUCCCACGGCCCAACCGUGGAAGUGCCUCUGAUACUGCGAGCCUAGAGGGGGAUAGGGGCAUGCGGAACUUCCGGUGGAGCGGUGAAAUGCGUUGAGAUCGGAAGGAACGCCCGUGGCGAAAGCGAGUCCCUGGACGUCGGCUGACGCUGAGACGCGAAAGCCAGGGGAGCGAACGGGAUUAGAUACCCCGGUAGUCCUGGCCCUAAACGAUGGGUACUAGAUUGUGGGCUGGACAUGGGCCACAGUCGAAGCAAAAGUGAUAAGUACCCCGCCUGGGGAGUAUGGUCGCAAGGCUGAAACUCAAAGGAAUUGACGGGGGCUCACACAAGCGGUGGAGCAUGUGGCUUAAUUCGAGGCUACGCGCAAAACCUUAUCCCGGGCUUGACAUGCACGGAUUAGCCGGCGGAAACGUCGGUAAGGCCGCAAGGUACAACG